rnacentral:rRNA from 1 species
AGAUUAAGCCAUGCAUGUCUCAGUGCAGGCCUUCAUACGGUGAAACCGCGAAUGGCUCAUUAAAUCAGCUAUGGUUUAUUGGAUCGUACCCGUUAAAUGGAUAACUGUAAUAACUCUAGAGCUAAUACAUGCCUCGACCCUGUUCCAUGUGCCCGGUGUGGUGCUGAGGCUGGGGAGGGGUGCACUUAUUAGAUCAGAAGCCAACCGGCGUUGCAUGUGUAUGCAUGUGCGUCGAAGCACUUCUGGUGACUCUGGAUAAUUGUUACAGAUCGCAGUCGGCCUUGAGUCGGCGACGGGUCCUUCAAAUGUCUGCCCUAUCAACUUUCGAUGGUAGGUGACCUGCCUACCAUGGUGAUAACGGGUAACGGGGAAUCAGGGUUCGAUUCCGGAGAGGGAGCCUGAGAAACGGCUACCACUUCCAAGGGAGGCAGCAGGCGCGCAAAUUACCCACUCCCAGCACGGGGAGGUGGUGACGAAAAAUACCGAUGCGGGACUCCCUAAAGAGGCUCCGUAAUCGGAAUGAGUGGACUCUAAAUCCUUUCACGAGGAUCAAUUGGAGGGCAAGUCUGGUGCCAGCAGCCGCGGUNACUYCAGNUUCAAUAG